AGGCUGAAGACCUUACCGGAUUAGCUGAGAGGUGGUGCAUGGCCGUCGUCAGUUCGUACUGUGAAGCAUCCUGUUAAGUCAGGCAACGAGCGAGACCCACGUCCACAGUUGCCAGCAUACCCUCCGGGGUGAUGGGUACACUGGUGGAGACCGCCGCUGCUAAAGCGGAGGAAGGAAUGGGCAACGGUAGGUCAGUAUGCCCCGAAUCUCCCGGGCUACACGCGGGCUACAAUGGUUGGUACAAUGGGCAUCUACCCCGAAAGGGGAAGGAAAUCUCUUAAAGCCAAUCGUAGUUCGGAUUGAGGGCUGCAACUCGCCCUCAUGAAGCUGGAAUCCGUAGUAAUCGCGUUUCAACAGAACGCGGUGAAUACGUCCCUGCUCCUU
rnacentral:rRNA from 1 species